AUCUCUGGUGUUCCGGUUGUCACGACAGUGGCACUGCCGGGUAGCUAUAUACGGACGGGAUAACCGCUGAAAGCAUCUAAGCGGGAAGCCCCCCCCAAGAUUAGUUCUCCCUGGGAACUCGAUUCCCCUGAAGGGCCGUCGAAGACUACGACGUUGAUAGGCUGGGUGUGUAAGUGCAGUAAUGCAUUGAGCUAACCAGUACUAAUUGCCCGUGCGGCUUGACCAU
rnacentral:rRNA from 1 species